rnacentral:rRNA from 1 species
AUCCUAUAAUGCAAGUUGAGCGCUGAAGGUUGGUACUUGUACCAACUGGAUGAGCAGCGAACGGGUGAGUAACGCGUGGGGAAUCUGCCUUUGAGCGGGGGACAACAUUUGGAAACGAAUGCUAAUACCGCAUAAAAACUUUAAACACAAGUUUUAAGUUUGAAAGAUGCAAUUGCAUCACUCAAAGAUGAUCCCGCGUUGUAUUAGCUAGUUGGUGAGGUAAAGGCUCACCAAGGCGAUGAUACAUAGCCGACCUGAGAGGGUGAUCGGCCACAUUGGGACUGAGACACGGCCCAAACUCCUACGGGAGGCAGCAGUAGGGAAUCUUCGGCAAUGGACGAAAGUCUGACCGAGCAACGCCGCGUGAGUGAAGAAGGUUUUCGGAUCGUAAAACUCUGUUGGUAGAGAAGAACGUUGGUGAGAGUGGAAAGCUCAUCAAGUGACGGUAACUACCCAGAAAGGGACGGCUAACUACGUGCCAGCAGCCGCGGUAAUACGUAGGUCCCGAGCGUUGUCCGGAUUUAUUGGGCGUAAAGCGAGCGCAGGUGGUUUAUUAAGUCUGGUGUAAAAGGCAGUGGCUCAACCAUUGUAUGCAUUGGAAACUGGUAGACUUGAGUGCAGGAGAGGAGAGUGGAAUUCCAUGUGUAGCGGUGAAAUGCGUAGAUAUAUGGAGGAACACCGGUGGCGAAAGCGGCUCUCUGGCCUGUAACUGACACUGAGGCUCGAAAGCGUGGGGAGCAAACAGGAUUAGAUACCCUGGCAGCCCCCCCGUAAACCAAUUGAGUGCUAAGAGGUAGGGAGCUUUAAGUUAUGCUUUUCGGAGCUAACCCAUAACCUUUCCCCCG